ACUUAACUCUAUGGUUGUUGGCUUGUGGAAAAUCUAAUUUUAUUUUAUUUGAUUUUUUAUUUCUAUCCCAUGUGUUAGUUACCUUCAGUAUUGCAGUUUUUUCUCUGUUAUUUUCUUUAACAUGAGGAAGAUCCAUUAGUGUUUGACUCUAAAGUCGAAAACAUACUUAAAAGAACAUACUGUAGCUUCAGCGUUGCAAAAUCAGAGUACUGUUUUAACCCAGCUAUGACUUCUCAACUGAUGACAAUGCAAUUUUUUUUGGAUGUUUCAAAUGAGAUGUUCUCUCACAUUGUUUAUGAAUCAGUCUCAAGAAAGUGCAUAAAUGUUGUGGAGACUCCUUGUAAACAACUGUUUUGGGGUGUCAAAAAAGCCAAGAGUUGAAGCAUUGCCGAUUUCAGUGGAUUACAGUCUUAGGUACCUUCUCUGAAUAUGUAGGGUUGGACUAAUAGGUGAGGUCCUCCCUUUAGUUACACACAUUAGUCUCUGGACACUAAGACCCUACCCAUAAUCCAAGAGUAGACCCACCUACUCAGGUGAAUAUAAAGUCCAGGUCUGACAGCACAAAGACACCAAAGCUCAGCACAGGAGCAUCCUGAACAUCUCUACACACUGAGACGACAUGGACACAAGAGCCUCUCUCUCCAUUCUUCUGCUGCUGUUUGGCGUCUCACAGGCGUCUCCUCUCAUGGAGGAAAGGUUUGAAGGAGUGUUUGUGUCAGAGCCUGAACCUCUGGACAUCACUACAAGGAUUUUGGAGUCCAACAAUGGUCAGGCACCUUGUAGAUUUCUUGUAAAUUCAUCAGUGUGUUUCAGAAAAUAGUGUAAAAAUGUGGUCAGUAUUAUAAAUAUGUCCAGAUAUUUCAUCAGUAUGUUUCUCUUUAAAUGCAGGAUCUUCUGAAGUCUUGAUUGAAGGAGAUCUGGUGUUUCCCAAAACCAGAAAUGCUCUCUACUGCUUUAACAACAACUGUUUCUGGAAGAAAAACUCCAACAACAUAGUGGAGGUCCCUUACAUAGUGAGCAGUGAAUUCUGUGAGUGAAUCACCUUUAACCCCCGAACAUAUCUAUCAUUAUUGUAAAUGCCAUUUUAAACCUUUUGUCCCCUUUUGUUUGCAGCCAAUUAUGACAGAUCAGUGAUUGCGAACGCCAUGUCC
rnacentral:lncRNA from 1 species